AUUGAACGCUGGCGGCAGGCUUAACACAUGCAAGUCGAGCGGGGAAAGGUAGCUUGCUACCUGACCUAGCGGCGGACGGGUGAGUAAUGCUUAGGAAUCUGCCUAUUAGUGGGGGACAACAUUCCGAAAGGAAUGCUAAUACCGCAUACGCCCUACGGGGGAAAGCAGGGGAUCUUCGGACCUUGCGCUAAUAGAUGAGCCUAAGUCAGAUUAGCUAGUUGGUGGGGUAAAGGCCUACCAAGGCGACGAUCUGUAGCGGGUCUGAGAGGAUGAUCCGCCACACUGGGACUGAGACACGGCCCAGACUCCUACGGGAGGCAGCAGUGGGGAAUAUUGGACAAUGGGCGAAAGCCUGAUCCAGCCAUGCCGCGUGUGUGAAGAAGGCCUUUUGGUUGUAAAGCACUUUAAGCGAGGAGGAGGCUACUUGGAUUAAUACUCUAGGAUAGUGGACGUUACUCGCAGAAUAAGCACCGGCUAACUCUGUGCCAGCCGCCGCCGUAA
rnacentral:rRNA from 1 species